rnacentral:rRNA from 1 species
UACGAAGGGGGCUAGCGUUGCUCGGAAUCACUGGGCGUAAAGCGCACGUAGGCGGCUUUUUAAGUCAGAGGUGAAAUCCUGGAGCUCAACUCCAGAACUGCCUUUGAUACUGGAGAGCUUGAGUCCGGGAGAGGUGAGUGGAACUGCGAGUGUAGAGGUGAAAUUCGUAGAUAUUCGCAAGAACACCAGUGGCGAAGGCGGCUCACUGGCCCGGUACUGACGGCUGAGGCACGAAAGCCAGGGGAGCAAACGGGG